UACGUAGGGGGCAAGCGUUGUCCGGAAUUAUUGGGCGUAAAGAGCGUGUAGGCGGUCCGGUAAGUCCGCUGUGAAAGUCGGGGGCUCAACCCUCGGAUGCCGGUGGAUACUGUCGGGCUAGAGUGCGGAAGAGGCGAGUGGAAUUCCUGGUGUAGCGGUGAAAUGCGCAGAUAUCAGGAGGAACACCAAUUGCGAAGGCAGCUCGCUGGGACGUAACUGACGCUGAGACGCGAAAGCGUGGGGAGCAAACAGG
rnacentral:rRNA from 1 species